AAUCUAAUGGUUGUAACUUCCGUCGGCAGAAAUCUGUUGCUUCCCCUGGGCGUGGUAUUCUGGCAAUUGAUGAGUCAAAUGCAACAUGUGGAAAGAGGUUAUCAUCUAUUGGUUUGGACAACACAGAAGUGAACCGCCAGGCUUACAGGCAGCUUUUUUGUUUUGUUUUGUUUUGCCAAACUUAUACAGCUGUUCUUUGAAAUGCCUCACCAGGUGGCUACUGUUUUACUGCUAUUCACAUUAUCUGGCCCUGUAAAAGCGUCAACUUAUCUGCUAAUGCAUGGAGUAGUUGGUCUCAUCAUGGGUACUGUUUGGAGAUUGGAGACCAACUGGAUUGUCUCCAUCAUCCUCUGCUCCAUUGUAAAUUCUCUGACUUUGUUUUAGU